AGUACCGUGAGGGAAAGGCGAAAAGAACCCCGGCGAGGGGAGUGAAAAAGAACCUGAAACCGUGUACGUACAAGCAGUGGGAGCCUCUUUAUGGGGUGACUGCGUACCUUUUGUAUAAUGGGUCAGCGACUUAUAUUCUGUAGCAAGGUUAACCGAAUAGGGGAGCCGAAGGGAAACCGAGUCUUAACUGGGCGUUAAGUUGCAGGGUAUAGACCCGAAACCCGGUGAUCUAGCCAUGGGCAGGUUGAAGGUUGGGUAACACUAACUGGAGGACCGAACCGACUAAUGUUGAAAAAUUAGCGGAUGACUUGUGGCUGGGGGUGAAAGGCCAAUCAAACCGGGAGAUAGCUGGUUCUCCCCGAAAGCUAUUUAGGUAGCGCCUCGUGAAUUCAUCUCCGGGGGUAGAGCACUGUUUCGGCAAGGGGGUCAUCCCGACUUACCAACCCGAUGCAAACUGCGAAUACCGGAGAAUGUUAUCACGGGAGACACACGGCGGGUGCUAACGUCCGUCGUGAAGAGGGAAACAACCCAGACCGCCAGCUAAGGUCCCAAAGUCAUGGUUAAGUGGGAAACGAUGUGGGAAGGCCCAGACAGCCAGGAUGUUGGCUUAGAAGCAGCCAUCAUUUAAAGAAAGCGUAAUAGCUCACUGGUCGAGUCGGCCUGCGCGGAAGAUGUAACGGGGCUAAACCAUG
rnacentral:rRNA from 1 species